CUGAGAGGUAAGUUUUUGAAAAAUACUAGACUUUUCUCAAAUGUAUUUCUUUACAGGAAUAAAAAGAAAGCUAAUUUUGCAUGAGCAUGCAGGAAGUCUGCAGACAGACAUUCUACAUAGUCCCUUGGGGACUCAGUAGAAGUGGAAUCAAGACCAACCCAAGCCCAACAAGGCAGCUCCGCUGGUUAAUGCCUCCCAGAUCUGUCAUCUGUGAUAAAGAGCCUCGCUGUAGCUGAGGAGCUGGCCAAGAACCUUUCCCAGUUAGCCAAGUUCGUGAAGAAGUCACAUGUGGUGAAUAUAUUAUCAUCAGAAUGCGGAGCAAUGAAAUGUAAACAGAUAGGAAUCGUCACUAAAGCUCCAACUGCAGCCUCCGGGUGCCAUAGCUUUUGCACCAUCCAUUUGCACCAUCUCUGCAUUGCUCUCAAUCACUGCCACGAGUCUGGUGAUGCGCUAAGCUCGGGGCAGGAUCUCAAGGGCUUUGAGGUAAAUAAGGUACCCUCUGUGGGCUCUGUUUCAAUUAGAUGCUAGAGCAAUUGUCAUCAUUUUAGAGAACAAAGAUACUGUGAUCGAAAACCGUGAAGGCUGCUGUCUAUGUCAUGCUUGUCCCUAGUUUACAUGCAUUUUCCAGAUAACCAAAUCCAAUAAGCCCUGAGUGCACCCUGAUCCCCUCUCCACUCCCGUGUCAGCUCCAAAUGGAUGGAAGAUGACAGGAAGGAACUAGCUGGGACACAGAGCAAAACUUCUAGAGUUAAUGAGACAGUAACUCUCAUCUUAGUUCCUGAUGAAGGACCUAAAGCUGUUUGGUGUGGCUAGGAGCAUAUGAUUUUCCUGAGGGACCUGUUAAACAAGUCCCAUCUCUCUUGAGUUUCAGCUUACAUAGCCAGAAAAUAAAUCCUUUCCCUGUUCCAAGCAAAGUACUAGGACAUCUUGCUUCUCUUGCCUCUACAGACAGCAAGAUGACUUCAUGGCUUUCUCUUUCACCACAGUCACUGGUGCUCAGUACAAAUGAGACUCACCUUAGAAAGAAAGAAAAGAAAGAAAGAAAGAGAAAAAGAGGGGGAGGGAGAGAGGAGGGAGGGAGAAAGGGAGGAAAGAAGGAAGGGAGGGAGGGAGGGAGGAAGGAAGGAAGGGUGGAUUUGGAAAACACACUUACAGCCUCCUAGAGAGGAAAUAGGCCGUGAAACCUAAUGAAGAAAGAACCAUAGACCAAGGUCACAACAGCAAAAACAGAAAGAAAAAAUAUGAGCACAUUACUUCGUAGAAGUAAUACAUAAAACAUCUGCAGCAGAGGCAUUAUCUUCUACUUAAUGAGCUAAAUGCAUUAUUUAUUAAUCCUGUUAUAUGUGUGUAUCAGAGGUCAGAGGGAAACUUGUAGGAGUCGAUGUUCUUAUUCCUUGUGUCUGGAGAAUUGAACUCAGCCUAUUAGGGUUGGUGGCAAAGGAAUAGUUAUAAACAGACCACCCCCCCCCCAAGCGACCACAUGUAACUCAUUGAUUUUGGCAGGAUGUCUGCAUCAUCUGUAUUGACCUGCUCCCCAGAUUAAUACCGAAGCACUGCAAUUUCUUGAGGAUUAUCCACCUAGGAGGAAAUGAUACGCUGGCCCAUCCAUAGUAGUCAAGGGAACCACCAUCUCAGAUGGUAGAAACCACUCAGAAGGAUCAACUGCUGCAGACGGGAAGAGGAGCAACCUCGUGAAUAAUUUCGUGACAGGAUAUUGCAGGAGGGACUUUGUCCAAAUGUGUGCAGGGUAGUUGGCUACAGCAACAAGGAUGACGAACACAGAUGAAUUGAUCAGGAUGUAACCAUUCAAAGUUGAGAGGACUUCUCCGAGGCGGCUCCAAUGGAUGCCAGCAGAGUUAAAGUGUCCAAUGGAGAGAAGAGAAGGCUUGGGAAAUCCAGAGUCCAUUCAUUCAUCGCCCUCCUCCUAGAACAACAAAAGCGAGCCCCAGUACUCAUCAGCAUGGACUCUGUGUGUAGUCAUCUCCCUUAGUUUCAGAGGUUCCUGCCUACAGCAAAACUUUAGAGGCUUAGAGUUUAACGGUCAUAGCUUAUUCACCUCCAACUGUGUCCUAGUUCAAGAGAAACACUUCACAUAUCUGUAGGGAGAAGAUAAUGAACCAAGGAUACAAGUUAAGCCUUAGCUAAGACCUGUUACUCAGGAAAAAGAGCUAAAACAAGCUGCUUAGAUCAGCACCAAUGUUAGGUAGAGAGAAAAAGAAACGCUGCAUAGAAAUCUUAAGGUUCACAUGUGCUCCAGGCUGGGUCAACAACUUCUAAUUUCCUUUGCCAACCAACCAUGUCUUUGACAGAAAUGAUCCUUCUACAUAGACCACAGAGGGAUCCAAUGGAGGUUUCUCUUCCUGAAUUUGGGGAUUCAGAAUCUGGACAAAUUCCUUUCCAUCAAAGUCCAGUACAAAAGUAGUACCAUGGCAGUCCCUGCAGGGACUUGCAUCACUUUCCCUAGAGAUAUCAAGAGAAUUUUUAGUGAUAAGAAUAUGGCACAAAAUGAGAAAUCCCAUUACUCUUAAGAGAAUCUCUUCCUUCUCAAAGGCACCUGAUUAAUACAUAUAGUACUAUCAGUAAGGCUGAGCAAAAGGAUACUGAUGUUCUGAGUGAUCUUAAAUCAUGUAAUAAUAACUUUAUUCGUAGUAUAGAACGGAAUAUUCCCUAUUAGUAAUCAGUUCCUUUGCCAGAUCCUCAUAGUAUCUUAGUCACUGUUUUAUUGUUAUGAAGAGAAACUUUGACCACAGCACCUCUUAGAAAAAAGGAAGCAUUUAAUCGGGACUUCCUUAUGGUUUCACAGUUUUACAUAAUUGUCAACAUGGCAGAGAACAUGGGGGCACGCAAACAGACAUGGUGCUGGAGAAGUAGCGGAGAAUAUACAGCAACAUAUAGAUACAAAAUAUAGAUACAUAUAGAUACAGAAUAUAGAUACAUAUAGCUACAUAUAGAUCUGCAGGCAGCAGGAAGAGACUGGGACAAGGCCAUACCUUCUAAGGCUUCUCAAGGAGUGUCACUUCCUGAUGACCAAGCAUUCAAGUGUAUGAGCUUAUGGGAGCCAUUCUUAUUCAAGCCACCACACAUAGCAAAGCUGAUAAUGUCAUUUUCUGAAUUAACCAGGCCAAGGCACACUUCUUAGCAACAUGGUUACCUGGUAACCAGAGAUUUUUCUCAUCCCAUGAGAGAUUUCAUUCAAGAACUGAUCUUCUAACAGUUUUGUCUCUCUUAAGAAUGCUACAGACAGGGUGGGGUGAGGCACAGUGCUGAAGCCCCUCAAGUUUCCCAGAGGGAUGAGUCCAUGAAAGACGAAAAUCAUGUGGUCACACUGAGCAUAGACUUCACAAGCAUCAUGCUAGGAUUCCAUUUUCUUUCUCAACACAAUGAUAAAUUCUUCUUCCAAUAAGCAGAAAAUCAUCCAAUGGGAAAAAAAAAUAAAACCAACUAACUUGCAGUCCUUUGGAACAGUUUCAUAGCUUACAGGAUGGCUUCAUAACCCUGGGGACACUCGUUUUGACAUGAAAACUUCCUUCAGAACAGGAAUUCUGAUCCAACAUGUGCUCAGACAUCAUUUCAGUCACUUGCAAAUGAACAAGAAAGCUCAUGUAAAUGAGGAGGCUCAACUCCCAGGCCUGGUGAGUGGGUAAGACAUUCCUCUGCUGGGUUUUGAAGGCUGUCUGAAACCAUCGGCUGACAUCCUUCUCUGUGUGCAUGUAUGCACUAUCUACGGGAAAUUCAGCUCCAACCGGUUGUCUCUACAGCUCCCUUAAUCUUCUCCUCCCUCCUCCUGGCAUUGGCAUGUGUCCCAGGACUGCAGCGAGGAGUGCUUACCAACAAAGGUGCUGGCAUCUGCAUUUGUUUCACAGCCACAAACCUAAUGGUUCCAUGAUUUUGGCGAGCAAAACUGUCAAAAUGCCUGAGCACAAGAGAUCACAAGAUGAGCCAAGGCAUAGUGUGCAUGCCUUCCUUCCCAGCACUCGGAAGGCAGAGGCAAGGGGAUCUCUGUGGGUUCAAGGCCAGCCUGAAUCACAAGGUGUACUGGGGAUUCUUUUUUAUUGUUUUCCUUUUGCUAUCUGGAAUAGUUUGAGAUUGUAUUUGAUCAGUGCAUUAAACAACCAAUUAAAU
rnacentral:lncRNA from 1 species